AACUUGUUGUGACGUAAUGCGGAAGUGAUAUCGGUUGCUUGAAAAAUGGAUUUUUGUCAAAUUACAGUGAACAAGUUAUUGUGAGAUAGUCUGAUUACUUUGGAGCUGCCAGAUUGUGUAUGAAAUCCUGAAAAAAGUAUUUCAACAACUUUUUCAUGAACCACAGAAACUUCACCUUACCAAAUUGUAGAACCAGACAUUGUGAGAAAGUUUGAUUGCAUUCAAGAGCUGCCAGAGCUAAAGCUAGAAAAGAAACUAAACAACUUCUUCUCAUGAUCUGCUUAAUUGAUCUUCACAUUGAAUUGUCAACCUGUAUGCUACAUUGUAUAAUGACGUUGAGCAAAUAAAGAUACUGCAGUCAGCGUUACAACCUUCAUUAAACAGAAUGAAUUGGUGUUACAGAAAUGGAUAACAUAUGGAGA
rnacentral:lncRNA from 1 species